CCGCCUAGAGAUAGGGGUAGGACAUUCAAUUGCAUUUGCUUCCGUUUCUCAUGCAUUAUUAAUCAUUAGGGGAGGCUAGAGAUAGCAAGCCAGUGACUAGUAAUAGGCUCUUUUCACCAAGAGAUUGGGUUUAGGGUAUAUUAAGAAAGUUUGCAUAACAAUUUGAUAAAUAAGAUAAUUAAAUAAGAAGAGUAGAUAAAAGAAAG
rnacentral:lncRNA from 1 species